AGGUAAAUAUGUGGACUUAUGACAGCUAUGUUUCCUGACAACAAAAUGCUCAUAAUAUUACUGUUAUUUGGUCACAAAAUGUAAUUGUAAGAGUUGUUCAGGCGUGAAUGUAUGUGCUUAAAGUUUAAAUAUGCGGUCGGUUAAUAAAGAAUAGCGUCUAUUUAAAAAUGUGCUCGGACACUUUCGGACGUAGAUGAGCUCCAUAUGAGCUCCAGAAAAUCACAGACACUUAAGCGCUCACACCCCGCCCAGCGCAGCCUCUCCUCGGCAAGCCCAUCAGACUGCUGGCUCUGAUAUCUCUGUGGCGUUUAAACAUGUGAUUUAAUUCAUUUUGAUUUCUCAUACUUAACAAUGAAAGGGUUAUGUUUUAAAUCAUAUUUUAGGAUUGCACUUAAUUGAUAUUGCUGUUGAGUGAUGUUUCAUAUCUUUUACAUUUGUUAUAACCGGACUGCAUGCGAAUUUGAACUUCAGAGCUGAGGAAGCGGGUGGAGAAAUAGUCCCAAUAUCAUAACAAUCUUAAAUAAAACUUCUAAAUAUGCCCGUGUGUGUACCCGUGUGCGCGCGCGCGUGUGUAUGUACAGUAUGUGCGUGAGUUUUUAAUUUAAAAUGUCUUAACUUAACUCGGAAGGAUCUGAAUGACAGGUCAUUUCAUCUGAGAUCAUUCCGCAUGUAACAGCUGGAAUCACUCACUGUUUCCCACAACGGCACAAGUCAUCAGCCGUUUCCUCAAGGUCACGUCAGAGGGGUGGUGAUGUGGAGAGGCAGACCAGACCACCACCAUACGCGAAGAUGAGCCUCGAGGCUUGACAGUUAUUUUUUUCAAACUGAGGAGUUCGGACUCCGGACCGGCAUUUCUGCUUGUUUGUACCCUGAGGUAAGUAAACUUUCUACAUUUUUGAAACGAUAUUACUGAAAUAUUUAGUAUAAUUAGUUAAUAUUUAUUUUGUUAGAGUAGGUCUUGUGCUAAAUAGUGAUACUAGAAGCUACAUUUAUAAUAUUAUUUACCUCAGUUAAAAAAUACUGCUGGUAUAAAGCACUGACGGGCUUCGUCAACCGUCAGUUAUAAAAGCUCUGUUAAAUACAUUUUGUUCCUGGUUUUAAUGAAUUACGUUACAGUCCUGCUUUAUUUCUUUGUCAUUUUCAAUUAAAUUGCCAAGCACAAUAAGACAGCUGUGUUGUAAGGAGACGAAAUUCGAGACAGGGGUGUUUUCAAUGAAGCGCGUGGUCAAAGGAACCGGGUGGAAGACGGUGGAAGGGAAAUUAUAUGUAAAUGUUUGUCGCAGUUUUACACAUAUUCCGUGAGUAUUUUUCGCUUGUUCACGAGUGUUUGAUCAGGGUUGGAGCUAAACCUUGAAGGAAAGUGGAAACUGCUGGCCACAGUUAAGAACGUUCUGCUGGUCUGUAUUAUAAAUGCACGAUUGCAGUGCAGCGUUUGUAUCCGCAAGUCUAGAUAUGCAUGUUUUCUGUGAUGCACACAAUUAAUUAAUGUGAUGGUAGCUGUUAAGACACUUACAUUUAACAUUCAAAUGUUUUAAAAACCAAACGUGUUCAGGUUUUUAUGUGUAUUUGGUUUGUGAAGUGUAAUUUUUUUUUCCUCUCCCUCACAGAUAACCAUGGUUAAUAAAUGGUCAGACACGCCACUGGCUUUAAAAUAUAAACCCCAUUGAUGCAAAAAGGAGCUGCAUGGAAUGACAAUGUGGUUUGGAACAGACUUGGUGAAGAACAUGGAAACAUCAUCAGGAGUGCAAAAGAAGGAAGUAAAAAACAUCUCUACGCCAAUCUCAUUGGAGAGGAAACCACAGAAGGUCUGGUGAGGAAUGCUGCACUUAUGUUAUUGCAAACAUUAUUUCAAGAAAAUCCCAGCUUCCUUUACUGUGUAAAUAGUGAACCCAAAGGUCCCACACCAACCAUAGUGUUCAACGGCUCUCCUGAUCUUUUCAAAUCUGAAUGUAUCAACUUUAUAAUGGACAAUGUGAACUUAAUAUGUGGAAGACAUUGACAUCACAGGCUGUGGAAUGACUGUGUCACAGGUCGGAGAAGCGGACCGCCCCUGUCGCGGAUCACGCUCCUCCUAGUUCCACCUCGAGGAGGUCCCAAAGCACCCCAAUGACCAGACAAACCAGAGGGGGAGUAUUACGGGGCCAGGGACGUUGGAGGGGUUUCCACGUGACUCCAGCUGGAACACCGCUACAGAGCGUAUCUGGGUGGGUUGGGCACACACCGUCGCGGCGGCCCCUGAUGGCAUCCACAAGGGUCCAAGACCCUCCUAAGCUCCUAGCCGUAGCAGAACUACGUAUUUCAGCACCCGAAGGACUAACAACCCAGCCGGCAUCUGCAGCUUAUAUCCAACGCGAUCAAACUUCACUCUGACAAGUAACUUCCUAUACACAACCACGCCGUCCUUUCGCCCGGACCAGCCCCGCACUCUUUCCGCCCGCUACCUAGCGGUUGCCGGAUCAGCAGAGCCUGCGGACUCUUCGGAGGCUGGUCUUCGUUGUGCUGCCCAAGGCGGAAGUUGA